UACGGAGGGUGCAAACGUUGCUCGGAAUCAUUGGGCGUAAAGCGCACGUAGGCGGCUUGUUAAGUCGGAUGUGAAAGCCCUGGGCUCAACUCAGGAAGUGCAUUCGAAACUGGCAAGCUUGAAUAUGGAAGAGGGUCGCGGAAUUCCCGGUGUAGAGGUGAAAUUCGUAGAUAUCGGGAGGAACACCAGUGGCGAAGGCGGCGACCUGGGCCAAUAUUGACGCUGAGGUGCGAAAGCGUGGGGAGCAAACAGG
rnacentral:rRNA from 1 species